rnacentral:sRNA from 1 species
UUGCUCAUUUACACAGUUGCCGGCAAU